rnacentral:rRNA from 1 species
UUCAUCAUCAAUUUUAUGAUAAUAUAUAUAUAUAUUUAUAUAUGUAUGUAAUAUAUUGUAAAAAUGAUGUGCAUUUUUUCCAUAAAGGACAUUGUAAUCGGUUAAUAAAUUGAAAAUUUAUCAAAAGAUUUAUAUAAAGAGUUUAUUCUAAUUAGAUUUUUUUUAUAAAAGUUUGAAAUUGAAUAAAUUAUAUAAAUUUAAUAAAUUGUUGACCGAUUUAAUUAUAAUAAUGUUUAUAAAAAUUUCUUUUGAAAUUUUUUACAAUAAAUAUUUUAUAUGUUUCCCUUUAUUGGGGGAAUAUUAAUUUAUUUGAUUGUAUGCAUUUUUAUGAUUUACAAUGUUAUAAAUUCAGGAUACCUUCGGGACCCGUCUUGAAACACGGACCAAGGAGUCUAACAUAUGUGCAAGUCGUUGAGUAUAUUUAAUUAAACUCAAAGGCAUAAUUAACUUAACUGUUUUUUUAAAUGGGAUUAGUUUGUAUAAUUUUUUAAUUCUAUAAAUUCAAUCCCAGGGCGUUCUAUAUAGUUAUGCAUAAUAAUAUUUAUAUAUUAUUUAUGUCUCUAACUGGAGC